rnacentral:rRNA from 1 species
AACGCGAAGAACCUUACCAAGGUUUGACAUGGCCGGAAAACUCGCAGAGAUGCGGGGUCCUUCGGGGCCGGUCACAGGUGGUGCAUGGCUGUCGUCAGCUCGUGUCGUGAGAUGUUGGGUUAAGUCCCGCAACGAGCGCAACCCUCGUCCUAUGUUGCCAGCGGGUUAUGCCGGGGACUCAUGGGAGACUGCCGGGGUCAACUCGGAGGAAGGUGGGGAUGACGUCAAGUCAUCAUGCCCCUUAUGUCUUGGGCUGCAAACAUGCUACAAUGGCCGGUACAAAGGGUUGCGAGACCGCAAGGUGGAGCGAAUCCCAAAAAAGCCGGUCUCAGUUCGGAUUGGGGUCUGCAACUCGACCCCAUGAAGUCGGAGUCGCUAGUAAUCGCAGAUCAGCAACGCUGCGGUGAAUACGUUCCCGGGCCUUGUACACACCGCUAGUC